GGCCGUGCUCUACGUGUGAGCCCUGCCGGGCCCGAACCCGCUGCUGCGGGCUCUGCCGCUGUCACUGCGGCAACAGAGGUGCCGCGGGCGAUGUUUUCUCUAUAAGCAAAGCAAAGGGUGUGGAUCGAGGGCUGGAAAAGCACCAUCAAAGCGGCUCCUUCCUACGUCUGAGCGCCGAUCCGGUCACAGUUAAUCGGCGAACGUCACGACGGCUCUCUGAACAAAACGCCCUUCAGGGAAUCGCCAGAACCGGAGCGAUGGCCGCCUGCAGUGACAUCGAUGGGGGGCGGAUUUGGUGCCCCGAGACGUGUGCGAGUAAGAGCUCAGCCCCGCGCUGAUGGAAACGCGCUCACAGUCCGGUACGGUUUCACCGGUUUACAAACGCCGUCCAUUAAAACACGAUUAUUACCAAACGGCUUCUUUCUAUGCGAGAUCCUCAAAUCCGUUGUUUACAUUGCACCUAUAUUAACAAACCACAAAAUAAGCCCGUAGCGUUUUUAAGAGAGGUUUUAGGCUGGGAACGUGGAAACUUGCCUGGACGAAACGACACGGAAGCUGAAUGAAGGCGAGGAGAUUAUCUGUGUCUGAAGGUUGGGCAUUAGCCGCAAUGAAAAGAUUGAUUUUUCCGAUGCUUUUUUUCCCCCCAGACGGUUAUUUCCAAGGCUGCUGGCAGUGUAAGCUCACUCUCUGAGCAGAUACUGAAGCCCGUGUGUUGUAUGUAAGGGUGCUAUUCAAGGAGGAGGCGCUCAGUGCCGCAGAGUGCCUGCUGGCUUCGGGUGCACGUGUUCUUACAGCAUCACUCGCACUCGAAAAAUACUUGUUAUUCAUGCUCAGAAGUUACUCGAGCAUGACUUGCAGUGGAAAAUUGUGCAAAAAUAAUGUUUCUUUGCGAUAACUGAUCCCAGUCUGGUGUUUCAUAGCUGAUAGCCUGGAAACUUGCCUGUGCAGAGUCCCUCCCCGUCAGAGAUGUUCCACGAGGCUGAAGGAAACAGAGCGGUGAGGAGAAGAGGCGGAUGUGCAGGGGUUGUUCACAUGCUGAAAGCUUUGAGUCACAGCAGCUCUGACGCUUUUCUGAAGAAAUAGUUCUGCAAUCGUUACAGUUGCCACCCAAACCCUACCCUGGGUGUUCUAUGGCUUACAGCAACCUCCAAACUCGCACUGCGUGUAGUGUGAAUGCUGUGUCAGGUAAGCGUGUGUAAGUCAUCCUACAGCAGCCGGUCUGGCAAAACACGUCUGAUUUGGCGGUCAAGGAGGUGAGUCCCAAAACCCAGCAAGGUCUGUAAAAGAGGAGCUGGCUGUUCCGUUUGGGCUAACGGGCAUUUUCCUUACCUACAGCCCAGCUGACUGCCAGCUCCCAGCUCAUCCCCCGAUUAGGCGCUGAUGAGCGUUUUCUGAGCUACUUACUAAGAGCUGAACGUAAACCACAAGUGCUUUUGAAUGCUGACCUCUCAUUUAUGUUACUUUCCGAACUGAAUAGCAUCUUAUGCGCAUUAAAAUAGUUUUUAAUAGAUGCUUGAACGAUAAUCAUGUAUGCAUCUUGUUCUCUUCUCCUUUUGGUCAACGCGAAAGCCGGGCUGUUGGAUGCUCCCAUUUGUUGGCCAGGAGUUCUCCUCAGGGCUGCUGGGCCCCAGCAGAGUGCUGGGCUGUGCAUCGGACCCCAGAGAGGUUCAGGAGCUCCUGCUGUUGUUCAACCUCCUCUGGCUUUGGCCGUCGGAGGUGUGUUACUGCCACAGCUGAGGUGGAAGUGCCACUGCGAGGACUUUCGUUGUCCUUGUUUUGUGAUGUUCUUAACUCCGUGAUGUGGUGUGAAAGUUCCCCGUUCAUGGGUGUGAAAAUGCAUUCAGACUUGAUGCUAUCAGUCCCAGAAGUUAGAAGUACUGCUCGUUUCUCAUUGGAUAAGCAUAUAGACCACACAUUCCAUAACUGAAUGUCCUCUGCUAAGUUCAGGGGUUACUUGAAAUUAACGCUCAUUAUUCACUAGUAUUUGCACUAGUAAAGUACAAGUGCUCAAAUAUUUGCAGAAAGCAAAAGUGAAGCAGCUGUAAACAUGGCUGAAUUUGCUUCUGAAUUUUAAUGCAUAUUUGCAGAAUUUUGGUUUAGCUGUAAUGUGUGCGUGUCUAUGGUACAGAAAGCUUGUAAAUUCUGGUGCUUUACACUUCCCAGUGUGUAAACUGCAGCUAAGCCCGCUGGAUUUAACUUUUAUAUCCUUAGUUUAAAUGGAAAAAUACAGGCGAGUUUGAAAAAAACAAAAACAAAACCCUUAAAAAAUACACAGAGCAUCAGAAACUUUACAUAACCACAUCGAUUAGUGGUCUGUAACCUUCGCUGGCGAGUGGGUACUGAUGGAAUAGUGUGUGGUUAACUCUUUCAUCCCCAGCAGGAGCAACGUGAAGAUUGAAUCCCAGGAUCCACAGUUCAGGAUGAGGUCUGUAAGUCACUAUUUCUCCCUUUGGUUCCAGAGAAGUGAUUCUCUGAAUGGAAGUUAAGGAAUUUGUGACGGUUUUCAGGAAACUUUGCCUUAGCCAGAUGUUGUAUUUGCAGUGUGAAAACAGGCUGUGUGGGAGAGCCAUGACUUGGAGUGGGGAAGGAGGAAUGUCUCAGGCUUAACACACAGCAUAUGCUCUCCUUGCAGAAUGGAUUGGGUGACUCUGGGUCUGUAUUGACUGCUUAAUCGUAGUGUUUCUAGUCUGGGGGUGGGUACACUGUUAGGUCAUGGUAACAGUGAUGAAUUUGAAGAGGAAGAGUGGCCAUUUAUUCAUCCUACUUUUCUCCCUCUCUCAAAGGAAGAGGAAGCAAUCAGGAUAGAUAGAGAGUUGUGCUUGGAAGCAGUGGAAGAAAGCUGGUAGUAUUCUAGAGAGAUGUGAGGAGCAGAACUCAGGAAAGAGUGUUGGAUUUCAAAGGAGCACAGGUUGAUAAGAGCUGUCAAGCUUGGCCAGGGCAAGCUGUGUGGGUACUGCUGGAUGAUGCGCUCCAGAGACAGAGUGUGGCAUUGGUCAGCCACCUUUCAGCAUCCUCAGUGCAGGGAAUUUCUGUUUAGUUUUGCUGUUUUCUUAAUCCCAAUGGACCAGGAGAUAUCUGGAUGACAACAGUUUCACAGGUUUCUAUAAAGGUCUUACAUCUGUUUUCCCAACACAUAAAAAAAGAUUUGCUCUUAUAUUUCUGCUCGGGGUUUCUGAUGCUCCCCUCUGCUGUCACUGCUUUUACAGAGCAAAAGUAGCGCAAAGAAUCUGGAAGAUGAUGGACACAGUGUGUACUGCAUGCUCCCACUGAGCUUAUGGACAGCCAGAAAAGCUGUAGAUGAAGUGGAAGAGUGAUGGUCUGCUGCCAAGAGCUGCAGCAUUGGAGAAUGUGUCUGUGGCAUUCAUGUGGUCAGAAAGUCAUACCAACUGUCUCCUCCCCAGACUCACAGAUUCUUCUCAGAAAGGGUCAUGUUUUCUGUUUUCCAGGCAUUUAAACACAUAGAAGGCAUUUUCUUGUUUCCUUGCUUUCCACAAUUCUGCAAGCAGAGUUUAUAUAUACAUACAUACAUAUAUAUAUAUAACCAUUUUUGAACUUGCUGCGCUUUCCUUCUACCCCUUGAUCUUUAUUGUUUCAGUAGAUCCCUUUUCAUUCUGUUGUAUGGUGUAUAUUUUUUAGGUUUAGAAGCUGUACUUAAUUCUUAUUUCAGAAGAUGGCUCUUCUCAGAAUGAAAAGCAGAUUGCUAUGAAGGCAAUGAUUUGAUCCUUGUGGUUUGCUGUGAGCCUCGUAGCCUCUAGUGUAAACCUAUUGGAUCUUGUUUAACAGAGAAGCAUAGAAAGUACCACCCAUGCAAAUGCUGCUCAGAAACAUCUACCAGGGAGAAAAAAGCUUCUGUAAGUAAAAGUAUUGUAUGACCUCUCAUUAUUAAAACAGACGCAGUGUAUUUGAGGGUAUAUUUAUACUGUGUUGAUUCUUAGAAGUUCCACUCAUUGACCAACGGCCACUCUUCUGGUUGUUGCAGUGUCAGGUGGGCACUGCCAUCCUGUUGUGCUCUCUUUAUGUGUGUUGCAAUCUUUAUUUUUUACUAAGGGAUUUACAAAAGCAGCUGACAUCCUGACAGAACCAGACAGUUCUAAAAUAUUACGGUUAAUAGAAAGUAACCAUAUUGUUCAUUGGGUCUGGAAAAAUAGAAAUUAGGAAAAUAAGGUCUUUCUAAUGAAUGUUUUGGAUUGUGUACAGUCCAUCAAGGUAUCUCCUAUUAGAUGAGAUGACCUCCAGUGAAGAUCUUAUCCCUUCACGAAUUUGGAAUAGUUAUGGUUGGACCGGAUAAGAAAAGAAUACCUUUCUAUCAGAGAGCCCAUAAUUGGUGGUACCCAAAAGUGGGCCAAAGGCUUUGGCAUAUAUCUGUGUUUUCUGCCCUCUUGAAAAAAUGCCCUAUUUUCUCAGGCUUGCUUUUACACUUGGUAAAAAUUCUCUUCUUUGACCUUAGGUUUACACUUCUCACAUUUUCCAGGUGCUUUCUCUGAUGAUAUUUUUAUUGGUGUAUUUGUGGUAAGUGUGUUCUUGAAUGUCCCACAGAGUCGGCCAGAUAUACAUUCUGUUACUGCUCUCAGUGCAGAUGAAAGCUUCAAAGAAAGGGUAAUUUUCAGUGCUGAAGAUAUACUUAGAGCUGCAACAGCUGGGAGAUGCAUCUGAGGGGAGCACUUGCUCAUCCCACAGCAAACCUAUAGGUUUAAUCCUGAAUCCAUAUACACAGUUUUGAUAAGGAAGCUUAGGUAUUGGGUAGAGGAUAGGAAAUAAUAGUUGUUCCAGAAUGGUGUGGACAUAGGUCCUGUUCUGUGUAUUCCAAACCAGAAGUGUUUUUCCUGCACUGCCCAUCUCUGUCUGCAUGACUGAGUCUUAUUUGUUCUACUGGGAUCCCUCUUGUUCCUGUGCAGCUGUAGCUGUAAGAGCUGACAUUUGCUGAUGAGCCACUUCUAAUUCAAAAAUUAGAAGAUUAACAAUGAGAUAAUUCAGUUAUCACAUUUAUGUAUUUGUUUAUACUCUUCUCUCAUUCACUGUAAUUGUAUCAGUAUCUGCUGAAGGUUUCAGCAUCCCUACCCUCACUACUUUUCUGUCAAGGCAAUAUUUAUCUGCAGAGAAAGGUGUCAGUGAGAAAGCAGGAUUUCCUAUAUAUCUGAGGACAGACCUGUUUUGUGUGCUGCAUUUGAUGGUGGUCAGUCACGUGCCCAGAGACGGGUACAAAAGAGGUUAGCAAACAGUCGCUUUGCAGGCAUUUGUUGCUCAGGGGUUUUCUGAGGCAAUUAGCCUGCAGUAGUCAUUUGUUGCAUUUAUUUGUUGUUCCCAAUCAAGUAGGUUUUGGUAUAUGCCACAAUGUCUGGCGACACGCUUUUUUUCUCUGUGCAACAUGUGAAGAACAACUUCUUGUUUGCUUUUUUUUUUAACUUGCCACUCAUUAAUUGCAUUGGAUGUAUUUUGGAUCAUGUUCCGACAAAGCCAAUAUCCUCUUUUUCUCCAUGCAACUUUUUGUUCAGUGGGACCGUGCCAACUUUUCCUCCAGCAUCUCUCUGCCUUCCCCACGUCUCAGUCACACCAGGGACUUUGUACUGAUUUUUGAUGCUAUAUUUGGUGUGUGAUGUGAUAGUCCUAAUUUCUAGCUAAAGAGCAUCUACCAAUGAUUAUGUACAGUGUUCCUUAAAGUAACAAAAAAAUCACUAGCGUGGAACGUUCUGGUUUGCAUGUCUCCAUAUAUGAUGGAGAGCUUUGUUCAGAGUUCUGGCUGUAAAUUCAUACCAGUACCCUAAAUCCCCGCUAUCAGUGUCUUUGGGGUGAAACCCAGUCCUUGUGUCAGAAUAAUCCCUCCUCGCGCAAUCAUGUUGCCCUCUGUUGGUUAGCUUUGAUUCAGAAUGUUCCCAGGCUCGCUAAUUACCAGAGGGCUUAUUUAAAUUCCUGUGGAAGAGGCCUCAGUGUUUUACUCUGCAAUGCUCUGGUUCCUGUGCUGGCUGAGGGGUGCAUCCGUGCUUUCAGAGGAAAGGGUGGAAGCCUCUUUGUAGGUUGUGGUUGCAACCGUGUUCAUUUAUAAAGCUGGGUUUGAUUUCUCUUAACGAACGCACGUAUUAAGGUCUGGAAUUCGUCGGUGUCAAGGUCAGUUAUUGAGAAGUUUGCAUUGCCUUUUUUUGAAGAAUUGAUCUGAAAGCAGCUAGAAUCAGAACUUCUUUUCCUGUGGGUUCAAUGUUUAUGUGCACGUAGCUUCCCAGUGGAUUCACAGGGAUGCCUGGUAAAGCCAGAUGGCACAAAAAAAGCCUACAGAAAGAAAAGAAGGCAAAAAGAAUGCUAGUUGCAUAGGGAGACAUGAAAAACCUCUCCCUCUAAAUGCUGGAAAAUGGUUUUAUUAUAAACACAGAUACUCUGAUGAAUUGAAAGGUUGGUGAGGAAGGAAGAUGAGAAUUUUUGGGGGCAGCAGAACAUUUUUCUUGUUGACUGAUUAAUCUGGAACUGCUCUGAAUGCAAAUGGAUUUCUGGGAUCCUCCCGCUUUCUCAAAUACAUUCUGACUGCAUCUGACUGGUAAUGUGUUCAGGAUGAUUUUCUCAUAAGAUACAACUGAAGACCAAAGGUGAAGGAGGAAGACCGUGGCAGAGCUAGGACUAGCUUUCUUCUUUAGAGGGGUGAAUUGGAACGCUGGUCAGCAUGCUGCAGUGACUUGCAGACACGUUCAUCAAAGUCCUUGUACCUAAAUAGGCUAUGGAUGUGAGUAAUGCUUAUUUCUUCUCUGUUAUAAAAUGCUUGAGAUCUGUGGUUGGGAAACCAAGCAUGUAAGUGCAGUCUACUGUUAUUGAUAGGAAUGACUUUCAGAUGGCACAGCUGAAAAUGUGUCCCCUAUUUUUCCUGGGAUGCUCUAUGGAUCAGACUCUAAGCAAAAACCAAGAAACCUGCUUCAGUUGGCACAGAUACUUGAUAUAAUAUGAUGAUUGGUUAGAGAUACUACCUGAUGGUAGUAGGUAAUACAGCUAAAUAUUACUAAAUAAUAGUAAUAAUGAUAAUAAAUCCACUUACAUAAAAGAAAAUAAAUAAGAGAACCCUGAAAUAAUAAUAACAAAAUCUUAAUCUUUUUAUGCUUCCAGAAUGAAGACGAUGUGGUCUCUUGGCACAAGAAUUUAUGAAACAACCCAUAAAGACCCACGGUACAGCAAUCUAAGGAGCAAACUCAAGAUGUUUGAUUGAGCAAUGCGUGUGCAUUUAUUCACACCUGGAAAGAACAGCUUUCUGUGUCAUUACAUGCAGUGUGAGAAUUUCAUGUAUUGAUCUCUGUAUAUACAUCACCUGAGGUUCCUUUAUUCUCUUGGUAAAACUUGCCAGGUGUGAUGCUGUUUGGAGGUCCUUUCUGUACCAGAUGAGGCACUGAGUGUUGAAGCAAGCAUCCCUCCUGGCCUUGGUAAGCAGCAAUACCUCUGCAGAUACAUAGAGAAGUCAAAGGCUGCCUUCCUUCAUGUUGGAGUGAGGAAAGACAUCUGGUUCUUCUAUUACUUUUCAGUUGGCUCUUUGCUUUUAUUACUGCCUACUACAGAGGUAGCCAAAAAUUGGUGUUUAAUACAUUAAUGCAGAUGUUAAACCAAAAAUAGCUCCUGUUUUGCAUCUGAGGAUUUCAAUUUGGGGUCACCUGUGGGUGGAAGUGAAGCUACUUUUUAGUCACGUACAAUAGAACUCCUCAGUUGCUUACGGUUAAUGUGGACCUGAUAUGUACUUCCAACGCCCUGCCCUGUCUCUUUGAGCAGGCACAAAGACCUCAGUUUGUAAUGGAAACUGAUAACAUCAGUUACUGACAACUCUCAUUUGUUUGCAGUUUCGGACCUUGUCUAGAGAUACAGUACUGCUGCCUAAAGCUGUUAAGCUUAACCAAAGCCAUGGAUGUGACUGUUAUUUGGCAGAUAAAAGGAGUGAAAGGAAGGAGAGAAGAUAGCAGUGUGGUGUCUUUUUACUUUCUUUACAGUCUGCUUAAAUUUCUCAUCUGCUGUAAACCUCAGACUGAAAUUCUGCAGCGUGGGGAUGCACCGAAGUAGUGCUGGAUAAUAACUUAAUAAAAUAGAAGUAACGAAAGGGGAAUAAAAUAGCUCCCAAACAGUUAAGAGUGGGAUUCUGGUUUGUGUUGGAUCCUUGUCCUGAAAGCUUGGAGUGCUCAGAUCCACCUGAAGGAUCAAAAGUGUCCUCAAGCCCUUAAAUAGAUGACUCGGAAAUAGCUGAAAUGUGUUUCAUUUUAUGGUAAGUUUAAUGUUUCCAAUCUCAGUGCAAUUUACAAUUACAAUAAAUAUCACCAAAAAAUUAAUGUGGCCACUUCAAAUACAAAGGAACGACAGAGUGUAAUCUGAGAAAAUUUUAUCAACAUGCAAUUUCCUUAACAAAAACACCAAUGUAUCAUUUCAGCAUGCUGAGAAAUAUUUAUCUUUUGGGACAGCAAAAUCAUUUGCAGAACGUUUUAACUGCUAAAUAAAUAUUUUACUGGCAACUUCUGAGGCAUCAUAAAUGCAGUCAAUAUAAACAAAGCAAUGUGGAAUCCAGCUCCGGUCUCAGCUGCAAUGACUGUUGGCCACUUCGUGGUAACACAGGGCUCUGGGAUGCAUUUGGCACAGUCUCAGCAUUUCAAAUAUCUGAUUUGUUGGGUUUUUUGUUUUUUUCCCCUGCUAUAUAAGCAAGUUUGCUUAGUUUAUCUGAAGGCUCUGGCAAUGGAAGGCAUGGCGAGCUUUCAGUAUUAGGGAUGCAACUGUUUAGCAUUUAACAGAAACUCGUCUUUUCACAGUUAAAUCACAUUUUUUUUUAAUUGAAUCCUGUGCUUAUGAAAAAUACUGGAUCUGCAGCCUCAGACUGUCUGCUUGGCUGCAGAACAAGAACAUCAUGGCCAUGCUUGCUUGAACUUCCUCGUGGGCCCCUGCCAACGUGCUUCACCUCUGACCUGUAGCUGAGUUUUUAAAUGUCUUUUUUAUCUGUAGUCUCUUCCCAGACCGCCCCACUGAAAUGGCACUUCUAAGGAUGAUUUCAGCAAGUUUCAUCUGUGCACUGGAAGCAGAAACUUGUUGCAUGGAGGCAGCUGAAGAAUUACUUAUUCAUUACCAUGAGCGUCACUGCAGUCUUUACUGUCAAGGACUGCCGGUCACAUUUCCUCACAUCAACUCUGGGACAGAGCUAUGAUUUGUUGUAUUGCUAUUGGCCAUUUUAAGUGAUAGCUACCUGACUAAGCUAGGUAAUAAUUGCCUAUUUGUCACUAUAGGUGCUCACUUUGUGUUAUUUGUGUCUAAUAUACAAUGGCAUUAUGCUCCUAUUGAAUAUUUAUUGAAAAGCACAUCAAAUAUUUGAAGGCCUGUAAAAGUGUUCAUCUUCUAAUUUAUCAAAGGAUCUCUGUUGGCAGUCAUUGGUUUCAGUGCUGUAGUGGUUUCUUGCCUGCUCUAAUGUGGUGUUCUACCUGUUUGUCAGACAUUGCUGUUAAGCAAGUAACUGGUGAUAGCUGGAUAUCCUUCCAAGCUUAGGAAGAAGUUAUUGGCUGAAGCUGUUCUCCUUAUUAAUUUGACUCCUCAGAUUUAUGUGUCUGCAAAUGAUUUUCUUCUUACCUCUGGCAGCUCCAGAAGAUAAUCCAGAAAUUAACUUUUCUUUGUAAAGAACUUCAUAGGACGUUUUAGGAAAACGUGAAUAAAUAAAUGCUUAGUAGGUAGUUUGAGAUACCCUCAGCUCCUCUGGAUGCAAAGCAUUUACCACUGUGAUCUGACUUCUGUCAGUUCUUCAGGAGUGUUACUAUCUUUGCACAUUCAUCUCCUACUUCUAAAGAGAUCUUUUAGCACACAAAGCAGGAAAUGUAAGAAAACAGACAGGAUUUCCAAAGACAAGUUAGUCAUUUCACUGCAGAGUCUGGCCUUUGUUCCACGUCCAUAACAAGGCAGUGGUCUUUAAAACACGGUUGAAAAUUAGAGGAGAUGGCAUAAACGUUUGGUAAUUGCAGAGAGCCAGGGUGGUUCCUGCGUGGGCUGUUAGUGACUGGCUGAAAACUGCUGCAGAAUGCAGUCUGUUGCUUGCUUAAUGCACCAUGAGCGUUCUCUGCAUAAGUAUCUUAAUUCACACAUCUAAAGGAACUCAGCCUGGGUUUAGCUGGGUACUUGUUAGCAACUUCUUCAGAAAUAAAGGGGUGGAAACUGUACCAUCAUCUGUGGCUGGAAGGUGAAGAUUUACUUAAAGCACUUCGGCUGAGGGGCAUCGAGAAAUGAGCACUGCUGCUGCCUGCAGGAGAGGACUCCAGCACUGCAGGGACACAGAACCUCAGGGAAGUCAUGCUGAGGAAAUGAUUCAUUUAACCUGCAGCUAUAUAGUUUGUAGAAGGUAAAGGCAAUAGGUGUGAAGAAAUGUUUGCUCAGAGCUGUGCUUUAUAUAGGUUCCAUCCUGGAUAACGUAUAUGAUAAUAUACUGAUAUGAGUAUAUCUCCUCUACAGCAUGCCAUGUUCUGACGUACUUGGGUGGCAUUUAGUGUACAGAUUACUCCUCCAUUCACAGACACGGACUUUCCCUAGGUUAUCCACGUGUUCUGUAUUACAUUUCAGGGCUCACAGUUUAAUCUUUUCAUAAAUAAAGCUGUAGCCUUUUCUGGUAGCGAGAGAGGAAGCGAGGAAGAUUCCCUGCCCUUGAGGACCGAGCGUGGCUCUCAGUCCCCAGAAGGCUGGGAUUUUGAGCUGGCUAUUACCAAGUGUAAAAUGAAACACCUGUGUGCAGCAGCAUGCCAAGGCUGAGCCACCUGCAGCACACCUGCUAACUGCCUCACUGCAGUCGGGUCUGGGCGACGUGAAUCAUCUGAUUUCAUAUCUGUAAUUGAACAAAAGGUACGGGUUAUAGCUGAGCUCUUAUCCAAAAAAGAAGAGUUAACGCUGUAAAUACGCAUCUCUGUAAACAGAGAAACUUCUUUCCUGUUCUCAUUGAAUGGCAUGCUGUGAAACCAGAGUUGGCUGGAAACUUCUAGAAGCAGCUUGCUGGGGGCUGGGUUCGGCUGUGCUUCUGAAUGCCUCCGAGCAGGAAGCAGCUGGGUAACACUCCAGGUGAUUGCGCCCAUUGACUCCAUUUUCUCUCUCUAUUUGGAGUGUAGCAGUGGGUGAUACAUUUGCCUGCUGUCUGAGCUUAGUUCUCAAAGCUGGGAGCGGAGUUCACUUUGCCUCUGGAGCAGGACGUAACCCGGUCUCACACGAGGCACUGAAUGUCUACCACGGACUCGUCCGGUUUAGGUUUUUUAGCAGUGUAUCUGGAGGAUAGAAAUCUUCCAGUUUUUUAGCAGCUUUGAGGAGUAAGCAGUUUCCCCCCAGCGUGAUUAAAAACAUCAGAAGAAUGCUGCAUCAUAAAGCGAAGGAUGGAGGCUAUCUCCAGGACUGGAUUCUGAUCGGAUUCACGGCUUUUCCUAGAGCCAUAGGAAGGAGUUAAGAGAAAGCAAGCGCUUGCUGGUAUUCUGUUCCUUUGUCUCCUGCUCUGUGCUGCCAGAGGUGAUGGGAAGAUUUAGGAGGCUGCUUUUUGACCAUCAUACAGCAGACGCAUUUAUUUCUCCCGAAUAUAUUUUUAAACAAUGUUGUCUAGAUAUGUAUAAAUUAUGUUUACAUCAAUUUGAUGUUGAAUUUGGAAAUCUUUGGUGUAUGAAUCAUGG
ensembl:lncRNA